rnacentral:rRNA from 1 species
AUUGAACGCUGGCGGCAUGCCUUACACAUGCAAGUCGAACGGCAGCACGGGAGCGAUCCUGGUGGCGAGUGGUGAACGGGUGAGUAAUGUAUCGGAACGUGCCUAGUUGUGGGGGAUAACGUAGAGAAAUUUACGCUAAUACCGCAUACGAUCUAUGGAUGAAAGCGGGGGAUCGCGAGACCUCGCGCAGUUAGAGCGGCCGAUAUCAGGUUAGGUUGUUGGUGGGGUAAAAGCACACCAAGCCGACGAUCUGUAGCUGGUUUGAGAGAACGACCAGCCAGACUGGGAGUGAGAAACGGCCCAGACUCCUGCGGGAGGCAGCAGUGGGGAAUUUUGGACAAGGGGGGCAACCCUGAUCCAGCAAUGCCGCGUGCAGGAAGAAGGCCUUCGGGUUGUAAACUGCUUUUGUACGGAACGAAACGGUCCUUUCUAAUACAGAGGGCUAAUGACGGUACCGUAAGAAUAAGCACCGGCUAACUACGUGCCAGCCGCCGCAGUAA